GGGGAAUAUUGGACAAUGGGCGGAAGCCUGAUCCAGCCAUGCCGCGUGUGUGAAGAAGGCCUUAUGGUUGUAAAGCACUUUAAGCGAGGAGGAGGCUACUUUAGUUAAUACCUAGAGAUAGCGGACGUUACUCGCAGAAUAAGCACCGGCUAACUCUGUGCCAGCAGCCGCGGUAAUACAGAGGGUGCAAGCGUUAAUCGGAUUUACUGGGCGUAAAGCGCGCGUAGGCGGCUAAUUAAGUCAAAUGUGAAAUCCCCGAGCUUAACUUGGGAAUUGCAUUCGAUACUGGUUAGCUAGAGUGUGGGAGAGGAUGGUAGAAUUCCAGGUGUAGCGGUGAAAUGCGUAGAGAUCUGGAGGAAUACCGAUGGCGAAGGCAGCCAUCUGGCCUAACACUGACGCUGAGGUGCGAAAGCAUGGGGAGCAAAC
rnacentral:rRNA from 1 species